GACGAACGCUGGCGGCGUGCCUAAUACAUGCAAGUCGAACGCAGUGGGGACGGGUGAGUAACACGUGGGUAACCUCCCAUCAGAGGGGAUAACACUUGGAAACAGGUGCAAAACCCAUAUGGAUGGAUGGACCCGCGGGGCAUUAGCUAGUUGGUGAGGUAACGGCUCACCAAGGCCACGAUGCAUAGCCGGCCUGAGAGGAUGACCGGCCAAACUGGGACUGAGACACGGCCCAGACUCCUACGGGAGGCAGCAGUGGGGAAUCUUCGACAAUGGACGAAAGUCUGACCGAGCAACGCCGCGUGAGUGAAGAAGGUUUUCGGGUCGUAAAGCUCUGUUGUUAGAGAAGCGGUAUCUAACCAGGAAGCCACGGCUAACUACGUGCCAGCAGCCGCGGUAAUUC
rnacentral:rRNA from 1 species